AGCAGCCGCGGUAAUUCCAGCUCCAAUAGCGUAUAUUAAAGUUGUUGCAGUUAAAAAGCUCGUAGUUGAAUUUCGGGAUCAAAGGAUCGGUCAUGCCUUGGUAUGUACUGGUUUUAUUGGUUCUCACCUUCUAAAGAACCAUAAUGUCAUUCAUUUGAUGUUAUGGGGAAUUAGGACUGUUACCUUGAAAAAUUAGAGUGUUUAAAGCAGGCUUACGCUUGAAUACAUUAGCAUGGAAUAAUGAAAUAGGACAUCAGAUUCUAUUUUGUUGGUUUCUAGGAUCGAUGUAAUGAUUAAUAGGGAUAGUUGGGGGCAUUAGUAUUCAAUUGUCAGAGGUGAAAUUCUUGGAUUUAUUGAAGACUAACUACUGCGAAAGCAUUUGCCAAGGAUGUUUUCAUUAGUCAAGAACGAAAGUUAGGGGAUCGAAGACGAUCAGAUACCGUCGUAGUCUUAACCAUAAACUAUGCCGACUAGGGAUCGGAUGAUGUAAUUUUAUAAUGA
rnacentral:misc_RNA from 1 species